AACGAACGCUGGCGGCAGGCUUAACACAUGCAAGUCGAACGCCCCGCAAGGGGAGUGGCAGACGGGUGAGUAACGCGUGGGAAUCUACCGUGCCCUGCGGAAUAGCUCCGGGAAACUGGAAUUAAUACCGCAUACGCCCUACGGGGGAAAGAUUUAUCGGGGUAUGAUGAGCCCGCGUUGGAUUAGCUAGUUGGUGGGGUAAAGGCCUACCAAGGCGACGAUCCAUAGCUGGUCUGAGAGGAUGAUCAGCCACAUUGGGACUGAGACACGGCCCAAACUCCUACGGGAGGCAGCAGUGGGGAAUAUUGGACAAUGGGCGCAAGCCUGAUCCAGCCAUGCCGCGUGAGUGAUGAAGGUCUUAGGAUUGUAAAGCUCUUUCACCGGUGAAGAUAAUGACGGUAACCGGAGAAGAAGCCCCGGCUAACUUCGUGCCAGCCGCCGCGGUAA
rnacentral:rRNA from 1 species